rnacentral:rRNA from 1 species
UACAGAGGUCUCAAGCGUUGUUCGGAUUCAUUGGGCGUAAAGGGUGCGUAGGCGGCGCGGUAAGUCGGGUGUGAAAUCUCGGGGCUUAACUCCGAAACUGCAUUCGAUACUGCCGUGCUUGAGGACUGGAGAGGAGACUGGAAUUUACGGUGUAGCGGUGAAAUGCGUAGAUAUCGUAAGGAAGACCAGUGGCGAAGGCGGGUCUCUGGACAGUUCCUGAC